UGCCCACACUUUCCCCAGAGCUUAAACAUAGCCUUGUUACGAUCUGUGCUUCUUCUCAACUGGCAGCCACCUCUGUGACAAUGUCCCCACAGCAAUAAAAAGAUCACUAACACAUUUGAUGUUCAGAUGGAGUGCUAAACUACAAGAAAGAAAAUAUUAAGCACAAACAUCCAUAAAUAAUAUGUGUGAUGCAGUUACGCAGUUUGAAAGGCACAAGUUAAGAGCACCAGGGCUCACACACAGCAGUGUUUGGCUGUUAGCAUCUUGGCUGGGCAAAACCAUUUGAAGGCAGGCACAGGCAGCCAUCACCUGGAGACCCGGCUGGGCAGCAGGGCUCAGCCAUCACACCUAGGGAGCCCUGGAGAGGAGCCAUCUGAGGUCCCAUGACAGCCUUGGCCUCAGCCCCUGCACACUGCUAACUCCCAGCCCUCCUUCUGGGUGCAAGGCUCAAGAUGGGUGGGGUGAGGAGGCACAGGUGUGCUGAGGAGAGGUGAGGUGCAGUGGCUAUUUUGUGGAGGUGAGGGGAAGGGGUUUCUCUGGAGAGAGACGGAGAGAUGCUUCUGAAAGUCAGUAAGAGGAAGGGAAACAUGAGCAGCAGUAUAUAGAGGACAAACUUUGGAGGCCAGGAGAUUUGCAGCUUGGUCAUUGAUGAAGGAGAGUCUCAGCCAACUGCAAACGUUCCAGCAGCUCAGUUGAAGUAAAGGCUUUUAGAAUAUCUUGCAACUGAGGGGAUGGGAGCACCAAAGGUCAUGUCUGUGUGUCUUUGAGGGAGCAUGGAAGGCCAAUGCUACUUCUGAGCUGACAGACCUGGUUGCUGACACUCUAAGCAACAGUCAUAUUUUAAAGGCUAGAGAGAAACCACUGCUGAAUUUGGGAACAUCGGCAUCUCACACAUCCACAGCUGUGUUGGUGUUCCUACACGGUAUGUUCUCUGAGAUUUUUCAUGUCUCUUUUUUAUGCUGUUCUGCCCACCCACUAUCAACUUCUCUCUUACUGGAUUC
rnacentral:lncRNA from 1 species